AACGAACGCUGGCGGCAUGCCUAACGCAUGCAAGUCGAACGAGACCUUCGGGUCUAGUGGCGCACGGGUGCGUAACGCGUGGGAACCUGCCCUUAGGUUCGGAAUAACUCCCCGAAAGGGGUGCUAAUACCGGAUAAUGUCUUCGGACCAAAGAUUUAUCGCCUUUGGAUGGGCCCGCGUUGGAUUAGCUAGUUGGUAGGGUAAAAGCCUACCAAGGCGACGAUCCAUAGCUGGUCUGAGAGGAUGAUCAGCCACACUGGGACUGAGACACGGCCCAGACUCCUACGGGAGGCAGCAGUGGGGAAUAUUGGACAAUGGGCGAAAGCCUGAUCCAGCAAUGCCGCGUGAGUGAUGAAGGCCUUAGGGUUGUAAAGCUCUUUUACCCGGGAUGAUAAUGGCAGUACCGGGAGAAUAAGCUCCGGCUAACUCCGUG
rnacentral:rRNA from 1 species